CAAGAGUGAGACUCAGUCUCAAAAAAAAAAAAAAAAGAAAGAAAAAACAAAAAAGAUAAUGGGCAAGUAAAGAGGUUUCAACUGUUGUUCUACAGGCUUCCUUGUAAAAGAUGAGAUGUCAAAACACAGGAAGAAAAUGUUUGACAAGACAUGAUAAAAUAAAAUGCCUUAAAAUAAAAGUUAAUAGGAAGGCAGAAAAGACCCAAACGCAUCUAUAGUAUCAGUUCCUCCAGAGGACAAGAAAAUCCAUCAUAAAAAAGGCCUCAUGGUGGAAGAAAAGCCCGGGAAACAAAGUCCCACCAAGACACCUCCUACUCCAUGAAGUCUUCCUGAACCAUAAAGCACAUCACAUCAGAUGCACACGAUGCCAAGCUGUACCACUUCUAGCGAUGAUGCUACAGUUUCAUCAUUCAGUAAAGGUUAGUAUUUGCCCAAUUUUUCCAUUAAUAGAGAAAUUCCCUUUUGUAACUAAUGAAUAAUCCACGUGAUAUACUUUGAGACAGGGCGCAUAUCAUGUUCCUUAACAACUCUACCCAAUGGUCUCAUCAUCCGUUGAUGAUUCCUACCUGAAUCAAUUAUGGGGCGCAUAUCAUGUUCCUUAACAACUCUACCCAAUGGUCUCAUCAUCCACUGAUGAUCCCUACCUGAAUCAAUUAUGACUGUGAUGGUGGUAAAAUGGUGUUUGGGUUUUUUUUUCUAUCAUUCCUUCUAUAUUAUGAAAUGACAUUAUUAACUUUGGACUUUAAAAAGUUUUUCUUUUCUAGCUCCUCCCCUUUCAAUAUCACUAUAAUCUAAAGAAUUAUUUGAUUCCAUGAUUAUAAUCCAUUAUCAUCAUUAUUCUUUUUGAACCUCAAACUGUCCCCUAGGAGGUGGCUUAGACUACUUCCCGUCUGAGUGGCAAUGUCUCCCCUUCAAAUUUGUCCUUUUGAUAUGCCCUAUUUGUCUUUUACCAUUUCUUAGUGUUCUGGUACAAAAUGAUUUUGGCCCACCUUAUACUCUCCCUAUCCCAACCUGCAGUCAGCCAUCAGUUCAAGAACCUGUGAUUCCCUGUAGUGGAGAAGAUGUUCAAAACUAAAUUUUGGGCACUGGAUGUGCUUCUCACCAAUGAAAUUUUUAUAAUUGUAUAGAAGACUCUGACAUAAGAAAAUUCUACUUCUCUCAGAAUGUCAGAGCAACAUACAGUCAAGGAAAAUAAUGCAAAGGCCAUCAUCUCCACCUCUACUCCCUCUGCUAUCUCUCCAUUACCUCUACUAGCUAAGAAAAUGCUACACUGCUGUAUACUUUUCUUCCCAUGAGCUGUUUUCAGGGAAGGGCUAAACUUCUGUUUAAAGUUUAUGAUAUAAUACCCUAUUGUCUUAAGUUGAUCUUGCCUCUAAGUCAGAACUGGCCUCUCCUACUGGGGCAAAGAAGGUCGAAGGAUUAAAACUGGAACCAAUAUCUUCUUUGUUACCUCUCAACCUCCAGUGAUCUGAGACUACGUUUUCAACCCUGUACAGGACCAGCUGAAUAGUAAGUAUUCAAUAAUCAUUUGUUGAAUCAUCUACAUAGCUUUGUCUUCUAUCUGGUCCAAGGCCCUUCCCACUAUUAACAUGGCUAAUAAUUCAGAUAGUAAAGGCUAGACACGUACACAAUGCAUGGAUGGAUAUUACAUAGCCUUCUCUUGUAGAAUAAGAAAUCUUGGGAUUUGCUCAGAUUCAAGUCUUCAGAUGCUUUAAUGGCUCUAUUUGAACAUUACUGCGUAUUGUGAUAUAAUGAGAACUAUAUGAUCUCUGCCCCCAGUUCCCUCCUGGAGGUUGUGGGAACCUCUAAUUUAUAGCCCUUCACAGGUGAUAACCUAAGACUUUCAACUGGCUUCUGACGUGAGAGGCAAUCUUAUGGAAGUGAGCUCUUAACCUGUGAGGUCUGCACCUACUCUGGUUAGUGUCAGAAUUGAGUUAAAUUGUAGAGUUAAAUUUGGGGUCCACUUGGGGAAAAACCGACACAUAUCUUGGUAACCGGAAGUAUUCUGUGCUGUGUCAAGUAUGAGAGGAGGAAAAACAGUUUGGUUUUUCCCUAUCUUAACAGUUUGUUUUUCGUUUCAGUUAGGACUCAUGAGUGAGGACAAAGUUGAUGGGAGUCAGGCAUGCCUAGACCUCACCAGCAGAGGUCAGAAGAAGACAAGAAGUACAAAAAGAAACGUGUCUUUUUACAGAACACCCUGACAUUGGAAAGUCUAUCAGUCAUGUAUCUUGAAUAAGAUUUCAUACUACAUUAAAUUAAGAUUUUUUUGAUAUAAAUAGGUUCCAAUAUCCUAUACACCAUGCAAAAGAUUGCACUACAUGAAGGGAUAGCUGAAUCUAUGAAAAUUCAUAGUUUUACAUAUCUAUUCUUCCUUAUUAAAAUCAUCAAUAAACUCAAAGAAACAAUAUAAUCCAUUAUUAAUACAGUUCUCUACAGAGUAAAUAUAAUGUUUGUUUAUGUGCUUAAGUGCCUGUUUGGGGGAAACCAAAGCACUUAGUAAACACCAAUACUAAUCCUCUUAGGAAGGACUGUAUACCACUCUCCCUAUUUUAAACAGAGAACUGCCUUAUGUAAAAUAAUACAUUGGCAAAGCUGGAAGGAAAGCUGUGAUUACCCGACUAUGCACUAGUGUACAAGUCUUCCCCAAUGGAAAUAAGAGCAUGCUUCAAGUGUAUGCUCUAUAAAGACUGCAGACCAGCAAGGCUAUCAUUUCUAGACUUUAUUCCAUUUUAAAAAUGUAAACUUUUUUUAAUUCAUUUCCUGGAAAUGGUAAAACUUGGCUACUAGGACUAGGCAGUCACCACAGAACACAAGAACUUAACUCAAACCUGAAGAACUUGGGGGAAAUCCUGAUAAACUAAGAGGCUUCCAGCCUUAGGCUGUUUUGCAUGUGGCUAAGUUCUCAUUCCACUUUAAAGAAACCAAAACUGUAAAAGGCAAGUCAUGCAAUAUGAGUGCAGUUUCCGUAAAAAAGGCCUUAGGGAAACCCAAUCAACAGCCUCUGAAUCCUGUCCCCACCCCCAAAUAAAAGACAAGUGAAUAUAAAGUUAUAUCUUAUUUUAAAAUAAAUUACUAAGGUACGCAUAGAUCAUUUUUUAGUGAUUCCCCAUUAAAUUAAACUUUCUGGAGAAAACAAUCAAUUAAUUAUAAGCCUAACUGCAUUAAGAGGUCAUUUACUAUAUAGGCACAUCUCUUAAAAAACUAAUAAAAAAUUUUGAAAAACAAUAUUCCUCAAGCAUGCAUCCUCCUGUGUCUGAUAUUUCUUCUUUUCUUCACCUCCCCAUUUAUUGAAUCAUUUAAAUCACCGGUCUGAAGACUUUCAAACUUUCUGGAUCAGGAAAUUACAAAAGGGGGAGGGGAAUGUUGGAGAGAGAAGUCAAUACUGGACUGCCAGAUUUUUAUUUUGCCAAAUGUGGAUAUCUUUUGUUAAAGAUAUCUUCCAACUCUUUCUGAUUUCUCAAAUAAAAGACACUGUAACACUUGAAGGGACAAUCUCUGCCAGUCUUUAUGUCAAUAUAUUUAGUUUUACAAAGAAUCCAUUACAUUAAUUCAGCCCAAAAGAGAGAUCAUAGUCAGAGUGUGAGAACAAAUCCUUACAUUCCCAUUCAAGGUGGACUGCCACAAACUUCACAGGGGCAUUUACCAACUUCUCACUAUUACUCAUUAUUUCCUUCUCAGUCAUUCCUCAGCUACAAAGAAUCUGCCUUUCCCCUCCACCUGCACUACCACUGCAUUUCACAUAUACUAUGGCC
rnacentral:lncRNA from 1 species